rnacentral:rRNA from 1 species
AACGAACGCUGGCGGCAUGCCUAACACAUGCAAGUCGAACGAGACCUUCGGGUCUAGUGGCGCACGGGUGCGUAACGCGUGGGAACCUGCCCUUAGGUUCUGAAUAACUCCCCGAAAGGGGUGCUAAUACCGGUUAAUGUCUUCGGACCAAAGAUUUAUCGCCUUUGGAUGGGCCCGCGUUGGAUUAGCUAGUUGGUAGGGUAAAAGCCUACCAAGGCGACGAUCCAUAGCUGGUCUGAGAGGAUGAUCAGCCACACUGGGACUGAGACACGGCCCAGACUCCUACGGGAGGCAGCAGUGGGGAAUAUUGGACAAGGGGCGAAAGCCUGAUCCAGCAAUGCCGCGUGAGUGAGGAAGGCGUUAGGGUUGUAAAGCUAUUUUACCCGGGAUGAUAAUGACAGUACCGGGAGAAUAAGCUCCGGCUAACUCCGUG